rnacentral:rRNA from 1 species
GAGUUUGAUCAUGGCUCAGGAUGAACGCUAGCGGUGCGCCUAACACAUGCAAGUCGAGCGGAGUACUUGAGAAGCUUGCUUUUUAAGUACUUAGCGGCAAACGGGUGCGUAACACGUUGAUACUUCCCCCCAAGUCAGGGAUAGCCUGGAGAAAUCCAGAUUGAUACCGGAUAGUCCCGCAAGGGUAAAGGAGCAAUCCGCUCGGGGAAAGGUCUGCGGCCUAUCAGCUAGUUGGUGAGGUAAUAGCUCACCAAGGCAAUGACGGGUAGCUGGUCUGAGAGGACGGCCAGCCACAAUGGGACUGAGACACGGCCCAUACUCCUACGGGAGGCAGCAGUGAGGAAUCUUCCACAAUGGGCGAAAGCCUGAUGGAGCGACACCGCGUGAAGGAUGAAGCCUUUGUUGGUGUAAACUUCUUUUCUCUCGGAA